AGCAGCGUUAUUUAGCUUUGAUCUUCUGUAAGGUCGAGGUACUACCCCAGUCGGACUGCUCCAUAUUUUGAGCAGGAUAUUUCUUGCUGUGCCUUACCUCAAUAACUACUAAGUAAGCGCAUCAUCUCACUACAUAAUGGAAAAAAUUUGAGGAACGAAUUUCAGUUUUAGUAGAUCAACGUGGCAAACAUUAGCACAAGAA
rnacentral:misc_RNA from 1 species